GUCUACGGCCAUACCACCCUGAACACACCCAAUCUCAUCUGAUCUUGGACGCUAAGCAGGGUCGGGACUGGUUAAUACUUUGAUGGGAGAGAAUAUUUCAUGAAAGGGUGGGAGCUAGAGAUGUAACUC
rnacentral:rRNA from 1 species